rnacentral:rRNA from 1 species
CGGGUUGCACCAGGCGUGAAAACUUUACAAUCCUGGCAACAGCGAUAGGGGGACUUCGAGUGCCAGGAUACAAUUUUGGCUGUGGUCAUGCUUAAAAAGCAUUGCAUAGCAAGGGCCGGUCAAGACCGGUUCCAGCCGCCGCGGUAACACAGGCGGCUCGAGUGGUAACCGUUAUUACUGGGUCUAAAGGGUCGGUAGCCGGCGGGACAAGUCUCUUGGGAAAUCCGUCAGGGUAACCGUCAGGUUUUCCGGAGACACUAUCUGGCUCGAGCCCGGGAGAGGUUAGAGGUACUUCCAGGUGUACGGGGAGAAAUCUUGUAAUCCGUGAAGGACCUCCACGUGGAGAAGGCGUCUCACCAGAACGGAUCCGUUGGCAAGGGACGAAAGCUAGGGGCACGAACCGGAUGAGAUACCCGGGUAGUCGUAGCCGUUAACGAUACUCCCUAGGUGUCAGCCACGGUGCGACCGUGGUUGGUGCCGUAGGGAAGCCGUGAAGCGAGCCACCUGGGAAGUACGGCCGCAAGGCUGAAACUUAAA